rnacentral:rRNA from 1 species
AUUGAACGCUGGCGGCAGGCUUAACACAUGCAAGUCGAGCGAGCGGCGGACGGGUGAGUAAUGUCUGGGAAACUGCCUGAUGGAGGGGGAUAACUACUGGAAACGGUAGCUAAUACCGCAUACCAUCGGAUGUGCCCAGAUGGGAUUAGCUAGUAGGUGGGGUAAUGGCUCACCUAGGCGACGAUCCCUAGCUGGUCUGAGAGGAUGACCAGCGACCUUGGAAUUGGGACCCGGUCCAGACUCCUACGGAAGGCAGCAGUGGGGAAUAUUGCAAAAUGGGGGCAGGCUGGACGCAGCAAUGCCGCGUGUGGGAGGAAGUCCUUCGGUUUGUAAAGCACUUUCAGCGAGGAGGCGUUACUCGCAGAAGAAGCACCGGCUAACUCCGUGCCAGCAGCCGCGGUAAUAC